rnacentral:tRNA from 1 species
GGGCAGAUGUCCGAGUGGUUGAAGGAGCACGCCUGGAACGCGUGUGUGGGGCAACUCACCGUGGGUUCGAAUCCCACUCUGCCCGCCA